GGUUUACCUGUGUGACUGCGUACCUUUUGUAUAAUGGGUCAGCGACUUAUAUUCUGUAGCAAGGUUAACCGAAUAGGGGAGCCGGAGGGAAACCGAGUCUUAACCGGGCGUUAAGUUGCAGGGUAUAGACCCGAAACCCGGUGAUCUAGCCAUGGGCAGGUUGAAGGUUGGGUAACACUAACUGGAGGACCGAACCGACUAAUGUUGAAAAAUUAGCGGAUGACCUGUGGCUGGGGGUGAAAGGCCAAUCAAACCGGGAGAUAGCUGGUUCUCCCCGAAAGCUAUUUAGGUAGCGCCUCGUGAAUUCAUCUCCGGGGGUAGAGCACUGUUUCGGCUAGGGGGCCAUCCCGGCUUACCAACCCGAUGCAAACUGCGAAUACCGGAGAAUGUUAUCACGGGAGACACACGGCGGGUGCUAACGUCCGUCGUGAAGAGGGAAACAACCCAGACCGCCAGCUAAGGUCCCAAAGUCAUGGUUAAGUGGGAAACGAUGUGGGAAGGCCCAGACAGCCAGGAUGUUGGCUUAGAAGCAGCCAUCAUUUAAAGAAAGCGUAAUAGCUCACUGGUCGAGUCGGCCUGCGCGGAAGAUGUAACGGGGCUAAACCAU
rnacentral:rRNA from 1 species